UUCUAUCUUUCUAUAUCACACAAGAAGAUGAUGAACAGAAAUAGUGGUCAUUAAUUUAUAAAGAGGAAGAAGAAAAGAGAAGGACACAUGGCGGGAGGCGUUGCAAACAAGAGAAUGGCAUUUGCCACAGUUGGUUGGGCAAACAAGAGAAGGGCAUUCGCGGAUGAGAAAUAAUGGUUCACAGUUGGGCACCACUGGGUGGCUUGACCGGGCUACUAACGUUUGGCUUUCAACCAUUGUUCCAUUGGGUCGGUGCUGAUUUUUUCGAUAAUUCUCGCAUCCUUAAUUAACAAUUAAUAGUAUCAACGCUGAUUAAAUAGCUAUGUCCAUGUGGCCUCAUUUUUACUCUUGGACAGCGUUGGUGUUGACUCCAUGCUUUUUCUUUNUUUCCCUUCUCAGCGCUAGCUCUUCUGCUAAUGCUCAGCGCUGACUUAAGUAAUCACCAAUUAAAUAUCAGCGCUGACUUAUAUCAUAUUUUAAAUGAUUCAAACCUUGUUUGUUAUUAUGUAUUUGUUGCGAUCUUUGUUAAAAGAUUAGCCUUUGUGUGACUAUGCCAACAUCGGCAUCAAUUUGUUACGAGGAAAGAAAGGUUAAAAGGAACCAAUAUGUGCAGCUCUCCUCCAUUACUUCGAUCAGAGGUCUACUAGCAGCAAAUCCAGCAACUACACCUUUCAAUUUCAGUAACACAAAUCAAAGGUUUCAUCUAUGAAUUUCCUCCGUUCAUUUACACUUGCUCACAGUUAGAACACUUUAAUUGCAGUACCACAAACAUUUUCAGACUUCAAAUUCAUGAUAAGCAAUACACAAACCUUUUCAUCUACAUAGGUAUACAUAUCGAUUAUGCUUAUAUGAAAUCACUCAGAAUUUAUAUAUGUACAUACGCAUAUUUUGAGUAUAACUAUUUUUUUUACAAGAGAUUGAAUGAGUUUAAAAACCUACUGGAAUAAGAGAAAGAAGAAAGAUGGAGUCUUGAGUUUUGAUUUUGCUUGUCGAGCCUGAGUGUUUUGGGCAUCUGAGUGGGGAGGAGAUGAGGCGUCGACGGCGCUGCUGUCCGUCCGGUGGUGGUGGUCUGCCACUGACCGAAGAGAGAGAGAUUUCGAGGGAGGUCAGCGGCGGCGGUUGGCUUCGUCAGCUAAUGCGUCCGUCGGAUGAGGGAAGGAGGCGGCGUCACGUGGGUGGCGUUGUCGUCGGCGGGAGUCAGAGAGGGAGGCCAGGCGCGGCGGCCCUGCCGCUGUCGCUCGGCCACGGACGGAGAGAGAGAUGGGAACGAGAGAAGGGAGAACCGAGGGUGUCAGUGGCUGUCGCCGCUUGCUCCGGCGAGCUCUGGCGGCGGUGGAUUUCGAUGGUGGAGGGGUGGAUUUUCUGGCGGAACUGAGGGAGAAAGGGGCGAGCAGAUUUUGAGAAGGAGAGGGAGAUCCAUGUGUGCGCGUUGAGUGAGGAAAUAGGAGAGUUAGGGCUGGGUGUUGGGCUCCUGACAUGGGCCCGAUUUAAUUCCCUUGGGCCAUUUUUAUUUUAUAUGUUGGGCUGCAGUUAUUUAUUAAGUCAUGGGCUAAUUUAUUUAAACUUGGGCUGCCCUUGUAUAUUGGGCUGCAAAAUUUUUAAAAAAAG
rnacentral:lncRNA from 1 species